rnacentral:piRNA from 1 species
CUUGAUGAUGUAGCUCAGUGGUA